rnacentral:rRNA from 1 species
GACAGAGGUUGCAAACGUUGUUCGGAAUUACUGGGCAUAAAGCGCACGUAGGUGGUCCGCUAAGUCGGAUGUGAAAUUCCCCGGCUCAACCGGGGAACGGCAAUCGAUACUGGCGGGCUUGAGGUCCGGAGGGGUGAGUGGAACUCCUGGUGGAGCGGUGAAAUGCGUAGAUAUCAGGAGGAACACCAGUGGCGAAAGCGGCUCACUGGCCGGAAUCUGACACUGAGGUGCGAAAGCGUGGGGAGCAAACAGG